rnacentral:lncRNA from 1 species
GCUGAGCAGAGCAGUGAGAAAAUAAAGAACACAUGGGAAGAGAGUUUCACACUUUCCUAGACUGUUUUCUGAGGAGUUUUAAAUUGCCCAGACAGGAUACACCAGAUAUACCACAGCGUGAUCAGUACUCUGAAGAGAUAGGACUAACGCAC